rnacentral:misc_RNA from 1 species
CAUUGGCAAUAAAUUUGUUUAACAUUCCAAUUGUUUAUUGUCUAAAAUUUUGCUUCUCAUCUUUCUUUGUGUCAAUUAAGACGUUUUGCUAGAAAAUGACAGAUCCUUGGUUGGUUCGAAACUCAGGACAACAGAAAACAUCAGUUGAAAACGGUACAAAGGAGAACGGUGCCUCACGCCAAGAGAGAGAAAUUUCUCAUGAAACUCCUUUGGAAUUUGAAGACGAUUUCGCACCAGGGACAACGGCACUAACAAUAAAUAAUUGUUUAAACGAAGAUAAAUCAUCAAAGUUUUACGGAAUUAAUAAUAGCACGUCCCCUGCUUGCAUCGAACCCUUGCCCGAUUCCGACACCUACUUACGUGGACUUGAAAGAAAAUUGCAGAAAAUCAAAAAAGGUGCUAAUUUAGUAGAAGCUUUGGCAGAGAAACGUAACGACUGUUUACGGCAAUUACUGCACAGUAGUGAUCCCGACAACAACAAUGAUAUUUUAGCAUUAGAUCAACCUUUGAACAAUAUAGAAUUUUACAGACACCUUCAGCCAAUACAAGCUCUCUCCGUUGGGGAACUGGUUCAUAUUGUGAACUACGAUCAGCUACAACAGGAGCAGACACAAGAUAUCGAAAGCAAGCGCGAAGAAAGGGAACGGGAAGAUAAAUCAGAAAACGCUCAAUAGUAGUAAAAGUUAUAAACAAAUAUGAAUACGCCAUUCGGUGAAGUUUUCCUUUUUCUUACCGAUUUGGCAUGGAAAAGCCGUUUAACUAUACCUAUGUUAGUAACAACGAUCUUCCUGAUUAUGGAUAUACGAUUACAGAUUGAAAUUAAUAUACAAACUGGACAGGCUGCUGCUGAUUUAGACCAGCUUGAUGAUCUCGACGAUGAUGAUACAGAUGACGAUGAUACAGAUAACUAUCUUAGUGAUGAUUCGAGCGAUGAAGACGAAAAUAUGUAUAUGGAAUUCGCACAUGCUGUUGAACGCGAACAAAACGCACAGGAGCUCGACAUUGCUGCUAACCGCU